AUUGAACGCUGGCGGCAGGCCUAACACAUGCAAGUCGAAUGGUAACAGGAAACAGCUUGCUGUUUCGCUGACGAGUGGCGGACGGGUGAGUAAUGUCUGGGAAACUGCCUGAUGGAGGGGGAUAACUACUGGAAACGGUAGCUAAUACCGCAUAACGUCGCAAGACCAAAGAGGGGGACCUUCGGGCCUCUUGCCAUCAGAUGUGCCCAGAUGGGAUUAGCUAGUAGGUGGGGUAACGGCUCACCUAGGCGACGAUCCCUAGCUGGUCUGAGAGGAUGACCAGCCACACUGGAACUGAGACACGGUCCAGACUCCUACGGGAGGCAGCAGUGGGGAAUAUUGCACAAUGGGCGCAAGCCUGAUGCAGCCAUGCCGCGUGUAUGAAGAAGGCCUUCGGGUUGUAAAGUACUUUCAGCGGGGAAGAAGGGAGUAAAGUUAAUACCUUUGCUCAUUGACGUUACCCGCAGAAGAAGCACCGGCUAACUCCGUG
rnacentral:rRNA from 1 species